GACGAACGCUGGCGGCGUGCCUAAUACAUGCAAGUCGAACGCUGAAGGAGGAGCUUGCUCUUCUGGAUGAGUUGUGAACGGGUGAGUAACGCGUAGGUAACCUGCCUGGUAGCGGGGGAUAACUAUUGGAAACGAUAGCUAAUACCGCAUAACAGUAGAUGUUGCAUGACAUUUACUUAAAAGGUGCAAUUGCAUCACUACCAGAUGGACCUGCGUUGUAUUAGCUAGUUGGUGGGGUAACGGCUCACCAAGGCGACGAUACAUAGCCGACCUGAGAGGGUGAUCGGCCACACUGGGACUGAGACACGGCCCAGACUCCUACGGGAGGCAGCAGUAGGGAAUCUUCGGCAAUGGACGGAAGUCUGACCGAGCAACGCCGCGUGAGUGAAGAAGGUUUUCGGAUCGUAAAGCUCUGUUGUAAGAGAAGAACGAGUGUGAGAGUGGAAAGUUCACACUGUGACGGUAUCUUACCAGAAAGGGACGGCUAACUACGUG
rnacentral:rRNA from 1 species